rnacentral:ncRNA from 1 species
GUGAGGGAGAGUGGGCACUCUGGUGGCAGGCACGGGGGUUCUGAGGGUGCACGGGAAGGCAUUACCCCUUCCUACACAAUCCUACUCUCCUCUCUGCCAUCCUGCGGGCAACAGGGUGUGUCUGGGGCCAUGCUGGUCUUCCCUACUAGGUACAGUACCUGUGCCAUGAUUUUCUGCACGGUGCCUUGCCUGGCAGCCAUCUUAGAACUUGUGCUGACCAGUGGAAAUGACCAUUCGACAAUAUCUCAAAGGUCUGCAGAGUGUGUUGGCAGGAUGUGAUUUCUGCCCGGUCGAUGCUGUGGAUGUCAAAGUGAAGAGAUUCAAUGGAGCGUGUGUAAGUGGCAGGAAUAACGAUGACCCUCUGAACGUAGCCAGAUGCCUUGUCACGAAUGAAUGGGUGAACGAGAUUCCCACUCUCCCUAC